UACGAAGGGGGCUAGCGUUGCUCGGAAUCACUGGGCGUAAAGCGCACGUAGGCGGCUUUUUAAGUCAGGGGUGAAAUCCUGGAGCUCAACUCCAGAACUGCCUUUGAUACUGAGAGGCUUGAGUCCGGGAGAGGUGAGUGGAACUGCGAGUGUAGAGGUGAAAUUCGUAGAUAUUCGCAAGAACACCAGUGGCGAAGGCGGCUCACUGGCCCGGAACUGACGCUGAGGUGCGAAAGCGUGGGGAGCAAACAGG
rnacentral:rRNA from 1 species